GCUCGGUGCAGCUGUGGAACGGAAGACUGCCGCUCGUCUGCCCUUGUCUCCGGGCUCAGAGUGACACGGCUGGAGAGUUUUACACGGCUUUUCCUGCUACAUAAUCUGCACGUCCCCCUUUAAACAUACAGGGAAGGUUUUAGAAGAGCGACUGUGCGAUGGUGAACAGCUUCAUCCCCAGACACCCAAUCCAUUAUCCUGUCAACAACAGCAGGUCUCUGCCACAGUUAGCAGCAACACUGGCCAUGAUGAAAUCAUCAGUAGUCCCAAAACUCAUCUCAUCCUACCCAAGGUAACAGAGAUAUUUUAUCUGACUACCAUGAAAAAUCAAUUAAACAACAAACUGUGGAUAACAAUGGAGGACACGUGCUUUAACUUUCAAUAGAAGAAUACAUCUUUCCUCAAGCAGAAUGACAGUCUGAGUCCAUUCAGGUCAUCGGAAAAGCCUUUGCUUUUUACCCACUGCUCGGCCAUCAUACACGUGAGAGAGAGCCGUUCUGUGAUUGGCUGCCUGUCCGCUCCAUAUUCAGCCGUGCUGGAUGAGGCAGAGGACCUGCUGGGAAAAUGGUGUUGUAAUCAGGAGCUGACUGCGCUGCCUGAUCAGAAUACAUGAAGCGGGGAUCCGACGUUACAAACAGAGAAGUCAUGCAUCUGUUUCGCAUGAAAGGCGGAGGCCUGCCAGACGUGCCAGUCCUGCUGCCAGUUGUUCUCCACCUCAGCCUGCAGACAUGGCUUAAUACGCACACUAACAUGCACAUGCACAUUUGUAUACACUCAUGCAAAUUUAUUUAGAGCGCAUGCUCAAAACAACUCAAAAUACCCACCUACACAUGCAACUGAAAACAAGCCUGAUUAUCGAGCUGUCAAUCGCACGCGGACCUGUUUACACACAUGGCCAUACAUCAUCUACACCUCCCACAAUUCCCAGGCUGUCUGUUUUACACAUGUUUAAGAUUUCAGCUACAUCGGACAAGCAACGUCUGUCACUUGAACUAUUUUUAAACUCUUGUUUUUUGUGUACACACGCACGCACACCCAUUUCUAUGCAUUUGAAACGCCUUACUAAGCCUAUUUUCCCAUCCUGUUUUUUCAGAGGUUCCGCCUACACCCCGGUUGUUUGUGGAAUAGGAUUGACAGGGUUCACAUGUCAAUCCUUCUCAGAUUUGUGGAAUCACUCUAUCAACACGUUUUGCCCUCCGCCCUCGGUUUGAAGAUCAAAGAAAGCCACAGCGUGAUUGAAUAGCACAUGGGUGCUGUAUCAUAAUGAUGGCAGAAGUGCUCCGUUUCAUCUCUUACGCUCUGACUGUAUGCCUGUUUGAAUACAGUGAGCUCCACAAAAGAGAGACACUGAGCCCCCUUCUUACUGGGAUCGUCUGUCUGCCUGCUGGACAAGCUGUGUCCUGCCCACUGAAGUCAAUUCAUAGAUUUGUGAUUGUGAAUCUGUCCUGUUUUAGCAGAGCACAAAAGAACACAUUUUGAAGAACGUUGGUAACCAAACAACAGUGGUACACUGUACAACAGACUUCCACAAAUUGACUUGCAUUGGUUUGGUGUCCAUACAAUAGAAGGGAAUGACAAAAGGGGCCUCACACAAAGCUCUGACAGCAGUUAGACUUUACUGCACCCGCGGUCCGCUGGCUUUAUGAGGCAGACUGAUCCCUCUCUCUGUAAACCCAUCAGUUACGAACAAAGAGGGCAGGUGCGAGGCUGCCUCAAGUACUCACCUGCACCCAGCGGGGGCCGGGCCUCAUUCAGCACACUCCCUUCUCCUCUCUCCUCAAUCUACUCGUGUCUGCUGGACUAGUCUGUUCCUCUUCCUGAAAUCCAGAGUUGUUCUGCCAUGUGCAACUUAUCUAUAAAGACAGGAAGGGAAAACUGCUGGUGCACAAGGCAUUUUUAGAAGAUUAUAACUGUGCGUAGAAUUACUUUGAUUGUCAAUAAAUUAUACAGAAUUCUUCUUUCAACUAGAUUAAAUGACUAGACCAGAGUUUUUUUGUGUGUGCUAUAACUAAAGUGAUCGUUCACCCAAAAAAGAAAAUUUUGUCAUUAUUUACUUACCCUUUUUUCAUUUCAACCCUGAAGUACGUCCUUUCUUCUGCAGAACACAAAAGAACAUAUUCUGAAGAAAGUUCACUCAUUCACUUCUAUUGUAUGGGCACGAAACCAAUGCGUCAAAUUUGUUUAACAACAUUCUUCAAAAUAUCUUCUUUUGUGACAGAUUUUUGCGGGUACACUCGGGAGCAGAUUAAAAAGGGAAAGCGGUCACAUGUCACAACAGGAAGCAGUUGGUCAGUCUGACUGACAGUGCGGUUAGCAUGCAGAGAAAACACAUGCAGGUUAACAGCAUGUCAAUCAAACUCAGAAAGACAGGUGGGCAGCAGGCAGACAGAUAUUAAGGGGAGCAGGCAGGAAGACAGACAGACCAACAGACAGACAUACCCAGGCAGGCGGGCAAGCCAACAGACAGCGGGGGCAGGAGCCUGAGAGUCCGCUCUGUGGCUGAGUAACAGAUGUGUGGUGAAUCUUUAACCAUCCACACUCCCCACUGUCACUGCAUCUGUCCACAGCCCCACUGAGUUAGUGUUGCCCCCACCUGUGUGAAAGAGUUCAACAAUAAAAACCUAUCAGUGCACUUAUUGAUUAGGCUCGACGUGUCAGGGAUGCCGAUAUUUAAUGAUCAGCAGGUCAUUACGCCUCGGUCACUGCUGGUUCAGUCAGAAUUCAACGUGUUCACCGUAUCAACCCAUUGAAAUCUAUUAUUCAGUCUUGUAACUCAAAUGUAUUGAAUUUAAAUUUAAUUUAGGGUUGUCAAAAGAUUAUACAUGUUAAUUUGUAUAUAUUUAUAUUUAUAUAUGUUUUUUUAAAUAGAUGUCCGAAUAAUGAAGAAAAAGCAGUCAAUAAGAUCUCUGAAUAGGUUGGAAACUCUUUUUUAAAAAAUCUUCUUAUAGUGAGACCUCGUGAAGCUAUAAAAUGCUAAGAACGAUUUUGCAAAUACUAAAUAAAUAAUUCUAAAAAAAAGAAAGCUUAAAUGUUUUCAAACUUUUGACUGGUGCUGUAUACUUUAUUUUUUAUGACAAUAAAACUUCAUGAUAAAAAAAUGAAGUAAAAUAAUUGAAUAUGCCAUUACAUUAUUGUCAAUAUUAUUUAGUGUAAAAUUAAAAAUGACAUAACAAAGAAACACUAUGAAUAUAUCAUAUUGCAGGUGAUCUCGGCAGAAGAGCCUCGACCAGGUUGAGCUUGAUUUAUUUCAAUAUUAUUUUUCCACCACUAUUACACCUUUUGGAGUUUUGGUCCCUUGCCAUA